rnacentral:rRNA from 1 species
GGGGAAUUUUCCGCAAUCCGGAGUAAGCCUGACGGAGCAAUACCGCGUGAGGGAGGAAGGCUAUUUGGGUUGUAAACCUCUUUUUUCAAGGAAGAAGAAAGUGACGGUACUUGAAGAAUAAGCAUCGGCUAACUCCGUGCCAGCAGCCGCGGUAAUACGGAGGAUGCAAGCGUUAUCCGGAAUCAUUGGGCGUAAAGCGUCCGCAGGUGGCGUUCCAAGUCUGCUGUUAAAGACUAGAGCUCAACUUUAGAAAGGCAGUGGAAACUGGAUAGCUAGAGUACGGUAGGGGUUGAGGGAAUUCCCAGUGUAGCGGUGAAAUGCGUAGAUAUUGGGAAGAACACCAGUGGCGAAGGCGCUCAACUGGGCCGUAACUGACACUUUUGGACGAAAGCUAGGGUAGCGAAAGGGAUUAGAUACCCCUGUAGUC